GAUGAACGCUGGCGGCGUGCCUAAUACAUGCAAGUCGAGCGAACGGACGCGGCGCUUGUUUCGCUGACGUUUGCGGCGGACGUGAGAGUCACACGUGUAUAAUCUACCUAUAUGUCUGGGAUAACCUGGGGAAUGCGUCUCUUAUCCCGGAUAAUAUCCUGAACCACAUUGUUGAUAAGUGAGAGACGGCCGUUCUGUCUCUUAUAGCUGGUUCUGCGCUGGAUGGGCUAGUUGUUAAGGUAACGGGCUACCAAGGCAAGGAUGCAUAGCCGACCUCAGGGGGUGGUCGGCCACACUGGAACUGGAACACGGUCCAGAGUCCUGCGGGAGGCAGCAGUAGGGAAUCUGCCGCAAUAGGCGAAAGCCUGACGGAGCGACGCCGCGUGAGUGAUGGAGGUCUUCGGAUCGUGAAGCUCUGUUAUUAGUGGAGAACAUAUGUGUACGGAGACGAACAGAUCUUGACGGUACCGGGUAAAAAAGCCCCGGCUAACUACGUG
rnacentral:rRNA from 1 species